UACGGAGGGUGCAAGCGUUAUCCGGAUUCAUUGGGUUUAAAGGGUGCGUAGGCGGUAUAUUAAGUCAGUGGUGAAACUAUCGAGCUCAACUCGAUACCUGCCAUUGAUACUGAUAAACUUGAGUACUAUCGACGCGGGAGGAAUGCGACAAGUAGCGGUGAAAUGCUUAGAUAUGUCGCAGAACACCGAUAGCGAAGGCAUCUCGCGAGGUAGUCACUGACGCUGAGGCACGAAAGCGUGGGGAUCAAACAGG
rnacentral:rRNA from 1 species